AACAAAUCAUGGUGGCACCCUGGAAGAGACAGGAGGAUCCCUGGGGAUCAUUGGCUAGCUACUAGAAUUGGCAAGCCCCAGGCCAAUGAGAGACUAGAGGCCUCCUAGUGUGGCUGUGGCCCCUCCUCCAUCUCUCCAGCCAGCCAUGACUGUCCUGUCUUUAUGCUGUGCCUCUCUGAACCUUUCCUGAUGUCACAGUGGGAUAGCCCCCCACUAUGGAGAGCUCAGGAGACCUGAUGGGACCGCCUGCGUCAUCCAGGAUGGUCCCUCUACCUCAAAGACCGUGGGAACAGCCACCAACACCAGUGAUGGCACUCCAUCACUGUAGCUGAAGUUAGACUGGGUGGGCUGAGGUCACGGUAUCAGAUGCCAACCUGAGCAUCCACACGGUGCUGGCACUUCGGCAGUGAUGGUUUGAAUCCUGACCCACCACCUACUAGUUCUACCAAUUCAGACAUGUUGGAUAAUUUGUGAGACACCGAAGAAAACAAGAAUGCACCUAUGAGCCGCAGAACCCCAGAUGACUGGGCCUGACUAUGUCACCAGCACGGACAAACCCAACACCCUCCAGGGGCUCCGCCCUCAGAGAGGAACCAAAGCAGAAGAGACGAACUCAAAACCCAACAAUGUCGCGAUGAUGACAGGAAUGCCACAUAUUCAAGACCAGAGAACUUAAGCAGAUGUUUAAAACAGAAGUCUAGAAUCUAGGGGCAUGUGCAAGACCCCUCCUUUUGCAGACCACGUGAGAUUUGACUCUGAAGACGGUACGUGUCACACCUGUGACCUCACAGCAGCAGCCAGCUCCCAAGGCAAGUGUCCCCUCUGACGCCAAACUGUAAAGGCAAGCAGGUGUGCCGGAGAUCCAGGCCAGUGCGUAAGGCCCUCUCACCCGGAUUUUGGCUGCAGUGGGAUUUAUGUACAACUGGCCACAUUCUUCCACUUCUUUACAUGAGGGGAAAGUCGCCCCAUCUUUUGAUUCCUCACUUUAACCAGGGUCAAUAUGUACAGAUAAUACUGUCCAGAGCGCCUGAAUUUUACAGUGAUGGAUAAACAUUCUUCAUUCACAUUGAUUAAAAAUAAAAAUUAA